AAGAUCUGCAGGACUUUCACCAACAUCGUCUAAUUGCAACUCAGAUGCUUUAAUUAAGCUAAGACCCUA
rnacentral:tRNA from 1 species